rnacentral:rRNA from 1 species
UACGGAAGGGGGCUAGCGUUGUUCGGAAUUACUGGGCGUAAAGCGCACGUAGGCGGGAUAUUUAAGUCAGGGGUGAAAUCCCAGAGCUCAACUCUGGAACUGCCUUUGAUACUGGGUAUCUUGAGUAUGGAAGAGGUAAGUGGAAUUGCGAGUGUAGAGGUGAAAUUCGUAGAUAUUCGCAGGAACACCAGUGGCGAAGGCGGCUUACUGGUCCAUAACCGACGCUGAGGUGCGAAAGCGUGGGGAGCGAACAGG